UUAAGUUCAGCGGGUAUCCCUACCUGAUCCGAGGUCAAAAGUGAAAAUGACUUGCUGGAUGCUAGUAUUUCAGGCUAGAAUCGCAAAAUGUGCUGCGCUUCAAUACCAAAACACUGGCUGCCAAUUGCUUUAAGGCGAGUCCAAACACCAGGGAGUGGACAAACACCCAACACCAAGCAGAGCUUGAGGGUACAAAUGAC
rnacentral:misc_RNA from 1 species